rnacentral:rRNA from 1 species
CGGUAAGGAAGCGGGAGUAACUUAGCGGCGGGACGGGUGAGUAACGCGUGGGUAACCUGCCCCAUACCGGGGGAUAACGGUUAGAAAUGACCGCUAAUACCGCUUAAGCGCGCGAGGCCGCAUGGCCGUGCGCGAAAAACUCCGGUGGUAUGGGAUGGGCCCGCGUCUGAUUAGGUAGUUGGCGGGGUAAGGGCCCACCAAGCCGACGAUCAGUAGCCGACCUGAGAGGGUGGCCGGCCACAUUGGGACUGAGACACGGCCCAAACUCCUACGGAAGGCAGCAG